rnacentral:rRNA from 1 species
AUUGAACGCUGGCGGCGUGCUUAACACAUGCAAGUCGAACGGAGUCGCGAACGGGUGAGUAACACGUGGGUGACCUGCCCUGCACUUCGGGAUAAGCCAGGGAAACUGGGACUAAUACCGGAUAGUGUGGGAUGGGCCCGCGGCUUAUCAGCUUGUGGGUGGGGUAAUGGCCUACCAAGGCGGCGACGGGUAGCCGGCCUGAGAGGGUGGACGGCAACAGUGGGACUGAGACACGGCCCAGACUCCUACGGGAGGCAGCAGUGGGGAAUAUUGCACAAUGGUGGGAAGCCUGAUGCAGAGACGCCGCGUGGGGGAUGACGGCCUUCGGGUUGUAAACUGCUGUCACCAUUGACGCGGUAGCUGGAGAAGAAGCACCGGCUAACUACGUGCCAGCCGCCGCGGUAAUAC